AGGCCAUCACCUCUUGUCCUGUCACUGUUCCCUGGGAGAAAAGGCUGACCCCACCUCACUACAACCUCCUUUCAGUAACAGUGCAAGAAGUACAGUCUAACUCCAUGCUGCAGCCUCCUUGAAGAGAAAUCAAUCCUUUAAUUAGGCAACUGCUCCAAAAGUAUUGGGGCUACUCAUAUUGCUGGGCACAGAGUGAUUUUGGAGAAGACCUCAGCAGUGCAACACCUGGAACAAAGAAUCAACAGCAGCAUGUGCAGCUCGGCGCUGGAAACAGUUACCCGUCGAGUUCAAGCAGCUGCACUCAUGUGUCACCAGGCUAUGAAACACCAGCCCAGAGCUGUCAGCUCCACCACUGAAAUUAAUGGGCCAGACUGUUUACAUUACUGGAAAUCAUCCCAUUUAAAUAUAUAUGUUAUGCUGAAUACGUAA